GAAGAGUUUGAUCAUGGCUCAGAUUGAACGCUGGCGGCAGGCCUAACACAUGCAAGUCGAGCGGUAGCACAGGAGAGCUUGCUCUCUGGGUGACGAGCGGCGGACGGGUGAGUAAUGUCUGGGAAACUGCCUGAUGGAGGGGGAUAACUACUGGAAACGGUAGCUAAUACCGCAUAACGUCUACGGACCAAAGUGGGGGACCUUCGGGCCUCAUGCCAUCAGAUGUGCCCAGAUGGGAUUAGCUAGUAGGUGGGGUAAUGGCUCACCUAGGCGACGAUCCCUAGCUGGUCUGAGAGGAUGACCAGCCACACUGGAACUGAGACACGGUCCAGACUCCUACGGGAGGCAGCAGUGGGGAAUAUUGCACAAUGGGCGCAAGCCUGAUGCAGCCAUGCCGCGUGUGUGAAGAAGGCCUUCGGGUUGUAAAGCACUUUCAGCGAGGAGGAAGGGUUCAGUGUUAAUAGCACUGUGCAUUGACGUUACUCGCAGAAGAAGCACCGGCUAACUCCGUGCCAGCAGCCGCGGUAAUACGGAGGGUGCAAGCGUUAAUCGGAAUUACUGGGCGUAAAGCGCACGCAGGCGGUUUGUUAAGUCAGAUGUGAAAUCCCCGCGCUUAACGUGGGAACUGCAUUUGAAACUGGCAAGCUAGAGUCUUGUAGAGGGGGGUAGAAUUCCAGG
rnacentral:rRNA from 1 species